UACGGAGGAUGCAAGCGUUAUCCGGAAUGAUUGGGCGUAAAGCGUCCGCAGGUGGCUAUGUAAGUCUGCUGUUAAAGAGUGAGGCUCAACCUCAUAAGAGCAGUGGAAACUACAUGGCUAGAGUGCGUUCGGGGCAGAGGGAAUUCCUGGUGUAGCGGUGAAAUGCGUAGAGAUCAGGAGGAACACCGGUGGCGAAAGCGCUCUGCUAGGCCGCAACUGACACUCAUGGACGAAAGCUAGGGGAGCGAAUGGG
rnacentral:rRNA from 1 species